UGGCAUGCUGGGAGUGGGCCGAACGUUCGGAAUGGAGGCAGUACUUAAGGUAAAAUGGGGAAUCCUGACGCCACUUUUCCCAUGCAAUCUUCUUCUUCCUCAAACUCAAACUUUCUAGAAAUCUCAAACUCUCCUCCUUCUCUCUAAACCUCCCAACCUUCUCUCUAAAAUUCUAACCAAUCUACUGUUCCGAUCACCAUUCAGAUCACACCUGAAGACUUCUGGUGGUCUCCUCUUCCA
rnacentral:lncRNA from 1 species